AACGAACGCUGGCGGCGCGUCUUAACCAUGCAAGUCGAGCGGCAGGCAGCAAUGCCGAGAGCGGCGGACUGGUGAGUAACACGUGGAUAACGUACCCCGAUGUCCGGGACAGCCUGUAGAAAUAGAGGGUAAUACCGGAUAGAUCACUGUUUACGUGAGGUAGACAGCGGGAAAGGAGCUUCGGCUCCGCGACGGGAUCGGUCUGCGGCCCAUCAGCUGGACGGCGGGGUAAAGGCCCGCCGUGGCGAGGACGGGUAUCCGGCCUGAGAGGGCGGACGGACACAUUGGGACUGAGAUACGGCCCAGAAUCCUACGGGAGGCAGCAGGUAAGAAUAUUCCGCAAUGGGGGGAACCCUGACGGAGCGACGCCGCGUGAACGAAGAAGGCCGGAAGGUUGUAAAGUUCUUUUCUGUCCGAGGAAUAAGUUUCGGAGGAAAUGCCGGGACGGUGACGGUAGGGCAGGAAUAAGCACCGGCUAAUUACGUG
rnacentral:rRNA from 1 species